AUUAAUCUCUGCUUCUCCUGCCCGAGACUGACCGUUUCUUCUGCCCUGAUUUCUUCUAAUUUUUUUUUCUCUUUCUUUCUUUAAAUUUUUUGGCCUUUUCAAUUGAAUCCUCUGCUUGGAGGAGUGAUUCAACUACACAAUUCUGUACAGUUUGUUGAGGUAAAUCAAGCUCCUCCUCUACGUGUGCAUGUAGUUGUUUUGUGUAGGGGAAAAAUAGGUAGAAAAAAAUUUGGUCAAAAUGAGUUUUUAGCGUAUUUUUAUGCUUUUUAUGUUAUAGUUUUUGAAGUUUUG
rnacentral:lncRNA from 1 species